UCAGAUGCCCAAAAAAGGAGGCCCGCAAGUUUGAGAGGCGCAUUAAAGAGCUGACUUAUCAGUCAGAAGAAGAUAAGAAGAAUCUGGCCCGGAUGCAGGAUCUGAUUGAUAAGCUACAACUAAAAGUGAAGAGCUACAAGCACCAAGCAGAGGAAGCUGAAGCACAAGCCAAUCUGUCACCUUUCCAAGUACAGAAAACAGCAACAUGAUCUGGAUGAUGCUGAAGA